AUGGUGGUUAACCGUAUUAUGAAAGACGGAAAAAAAUCAUUGGCUUAUCAAAUUCUGUAUCGAACCGUGAAAAAGAUUCAACAAAAGAUAGAAAAAAAUCCACUAUUGGUUUUACGUCAAGCAAUACAUAGAGUAACUCCCAAUAUUGAAAUAGGAUCUAAACAAGGAAGAGCACUUGCCAUUCGUUGGUUAUUAGAAGCAUCCCAAAAGUGUCCGGGUCGAAAUAUGGCUUUCAAAUUAAGUUCCGAAUUAGUAGAUGCUGCCAAAGGGAGUGGGGGUGCCAUAUGCAGAAAGGAAGCGACUCAUAGAAUGGCAGAGGCAAAUAGAGCUCUUGCACAUUUUUGUUAA
rnacentral:rRNA from 1 species